CGGCCCGCGGAGAGUAAGCGCGGGGGGGGGGGGCACGGAUCAAUUGUCACACCGGGGCCCCAUGGGCUAUGUGUACGCCACUGUACCAAGGUGAGAUCCUCAGACCCCUUGUGAGACCAUAUGCAGGUCCAGUUGGCCCUGGGUUCCUCCUAAUGCAAGAUAAUGCUAGACCUCAUGUGGCUGGAGUGUGUCAGCAGUUCCUGCAAGACUAAGGCAUUGAUCCUAUGGACUGGCCCACCUGUUCCCCAGACCUGAAUCCAAUUGAGCACAUCUGGGACAUCAUGUCUCGCUUCAUCCACCAACGUCACGUUGCACCACAGACUGUCCAGGAGUUGGCAGACGCUUUAGUCCAGGUCUGGGAGGAGAUCCCUCAGGAGACCAUCCGCCACCUCAUCAGGAGCAUGCACAGGCAUUGUAGGGAGGUCAUAAGGG